rnacentral:tRNA from 1 species
GGUAAUAUGGCUGAGGAUAGGCAUUAGACUGUAAAUCUAAAGACAGAGUUAAUACUCUUUUUACCA